AAGCCGUCUCACCUUCUUCCUGGUCGUCUAGUGAGUCAUGUUUCCCAGUCUCCCUUGCAGUUAGUUGUGAUUGCAUCACUGAGUUGUGGCCAAAGUAUAUGAAGAGAAGUGACAGAUGCCAUGCCCAUGUCUGGACUGCUAAACCCUUGCAUCUGAUCUUCCACUUCCUUUCUCUCUUUCCUCAUCUGCCAGCAGGUGUUGAAGAUGGCACAGUCCCCAUCAAUCCAGGACCCAACCUCAUUCCACUAGUGACUAGACUGCCAGUCAGCAAGAAAUAAGCAUCUGGCACUUUAAGCCACUGGGAUUUCAGUGUCAUUUAAAGGAACCUGGUUAAAGUAGGAGAACCCAUCAGAGGAGGGAGUCGCCAGAGAAGAGUGGGGAGCAUUUCCUCUCCUGUUUCCCAUGAAGGAGGGGAAGGGAUGACCCCCAGUCCCUGGCCAAAUGAGGAGGGCUCCAAAGACUCUUCAAAAAAAUGUGGGGAUGCCUGCAGGAAGGGGAACCUGACACCUCACUCACAGGGCUGGGAAGAAAAAUCCAUCAGAGUAAGAGAUGGCAGUGGUUGGAAAAAGUAAAGACAUUCUCUACUUGUACCCUCUGUGGAGUUCAGACUUUCCAUAAAUCAGGCACUGUGUCAAUGAGGAUACCCAGGAGAUGAAUGGAAUCUACUGUCUUUCCCACGCUUGUCAAGGCAUCUCAUCUGAGCAGUUACCAACAUCAGCACAGUGGGGCUGGUCUGCCCCAUCUCCAUCUGACCCGCCCAGCUUGCCCAGUGAUGCAUCACACCGCAAUAGUGGGACAUUUUUUUUCUAACAAUGGUUCUACUCCCCUGGUGUAAAAGCAAAUAAACGGGAAUGGGGUAUAACUUGAUACUAAAUUCUGUGAAAAUAAUCCAUUUGCACUGCACAUAGUUAAUGUGUGGUGCUAACUUGCUACUCUUCAUCCAAGCAGACAGAAGCAGUUGUGCCCUCAUAUAUAGAGGUGCCAGGCAGUCGGGGACAUGAUGAGGAAGUGUUUCUGAAAUCUCUUGUCAAAAGCAUUCAACAGGAAUGCUAAGAAUAAUGGCAAUGAAACACCACCACACCAAGUAAACAAUCGCAUUAACUUCAUUUUGCAGAUGAGGAAAUUGAAGCUCAGUGUGAUUAAAUGACUUACACAAGGGCACGGCUGCUAAGACAUGAAAGAGCUUGGAACUGGACCCAAGUUCUUCCUUCUCUCACAGAAAGAUAUGCUUGCUGAAAGCUCUGCAGAUUUGAAGAUU
rnacentral:lncRNA from 1 species